GGUUAAGCGACUAAGCGUACACGGUGGAUGCCCUGGCAGUCAGAGGCGAUGAAGGACGUGCUAAUCUGCGAAAAGCGUCGGUAAGGUGAUAUGAACCGUUAUAACCGGCGAUGUCCGAAUGGGGAAACCCAGUGCAAUUCGUUGCACUAUCGUUAACUGAAUACAUAGGUUAACGAGGCGAACCGGGGGAACUGAAACAUCUAAGUACCCCGAGGAAAAGAAAUCAACCGAGAUUCCCCCAGUAGCGGCGAGCGAACGGGGAGCAGCCCGGAGUCUGAAUCAGCUUGUGUGUUAGUGGAAGCGUCUGGAAAGUCGCAGGGUACAGGGUGAUACUCCCGUACACUAAAACACACAGGCUGUGAACUCGAAGAGUAGGGCGGGACACGUGGUAUCCUGUCUGAAUAUGGGGGGACCAUCCUCCAAGGCUAAAUACUCCUGACUGACCGAUAGUGAACCAGUACCGUGAGGGAAAGGCGAAAAGAACCCCGGCGAGGGGAGUGAAAAAGAACCUGAAACCGUGUACGUACAAGCAGUAGGAGCCCACUAGUUGGGUGACUGCGUACCUUUUGUAUAAUGGGUCAGCGACUUAUAUUCUGUAGCAAGGUUAACCGUAUAGGGGAGCCGCAGGGAAACCGAGUCUUAACUGGGCGUUAAGUUGCAGGGUAUAGACCCGAAACCCGGUGAUCUAGCCAUGGGCAGGUUGAAGGUUGGGUAACACUAACUGGAGGACCGAACCGACUAAUGUUGAAAAAUUAGCGGAUGACUUGUGGCUGGGGGUGAAAGGCCAAUCAAACCGGGAGAUAGCUGGUUCUCCCCGAAAGCUAUUUAGGUAGCGCCUCGUGAAUUCAUCUUCGGGGGUAGAGCACUGUUUCGGCUAGGGGGUCAUCCCGACUUACCAACCCGAUGCAAACUACGAAUACCGAAGAAUGUUAUCACGGGAGACACACGGCGGGUGCUAACGUCCGUCGUGAAGAGGGAAACAACCCAGACCGCCAGCUAAGGUCCCAAAGUCAUGGUUAAGUGGGAAACGAUGUGGGAAGGCCCAGACAGCCAGGAUGUUGGCUUAGAAGCAGCCAUCAUUUAAAGAAAGCGUAAUAGCUCACUGGUCGAGUCGGCCUGCGCGGAAGAUGUAACGGGGCUAAACCAUGCACCGAAGCUGCGGCAGCGACGCUUAUGCGUUGUUGGGUAGGGGAGCGUUCUGUAAGCCGUUGAAGGUGGCCUGUGAGGGUUGCUGGAGGUAUCAGAAGUGCGAAUGCUGACAUAAGUAACGAUAAUGCGGGUGAAAAACCCGCACGCCGGAAGACCAAGGGUUCCUGUCCAACGUUAAUCGGGGCAGGGUGAGUCGACCCCUAAGGCGAGGCCGAAAGGCGUAGUCGAUGGGAAACAGGUUAAUAUUCCUGUACUUGGUGUUACUGCGAAGGGGGGACGGAGAAGGCUAUGUUGGCCGGGCGACGGUUGUCCCGGUUUAAGCAUGUAGGCGGAUGUUCCAGGUAAAUCCGGAACGUUACUAACGCUGAGGUGUGAUGACGAGGCACUACGGUGCUGAAGUGACAAAUGCCCUGCUUCCAGGAAAAGCCUCUAAGCAUCAGGUAACAUCAAAUCGUACCCCAAACCGACACAGGUGGUCAGGUAGAGAAUACCAAGGCGCUUGAGAGAACUCGGGUGAAGGAACUAGGCAAAAUGGUGCCGUAACUUCGGGAGAAGGCACGCUGAUGGUAAGUGAAGCGACUUGCUCGUGGAGCUGAAAUCAGUCGAAGAUACCAGCUGGCUGCAACUGUUUAUUAAAAACACAGCACUGUGCAAACACGAAAGUGGACGUAUACGGUGUGACGCCUGCCCGGUGCCGGAAGGUUAAUUGAUGGGGUUAUCCUCACGGAGAAGCUCUUGAUCGAAGCCCCGGUAAACGGCGGCCGUAACUAUAACGGUCCUAAGGUAGCGAAAUUCCUUGUCGGGUAAGUUCCGACCUGCACGAAUGGCGUAAUGAUGGCCAGGCUGUCUCCACCCGAGACUCAGUGAAAUUGAACUCGCUGUGAAGAUGCAGUGUACCCGCGGCAAGACGGAAAGACCCCGUGAACCUUUACUAUAGCUUGACACUGAACACUGGUCCUUGAUGUGUAGGAUAGGUGGGAGGCUUUGAAGUGUGGACGCCAGUCUGCAUGGAGCCAUCCUUGAAAUACCACCCUUUAAUGGCUGGUGUUCUAACGUGGGCCCCUGAUCGGGGUUGCGGACAGUGUCUGGUGGGUAGUUUGACUGGGGCGGUCUCCUCCUAAAGAGUAACGGAGGAGCACGAAGGUCAGCUAAUCCUGGUCGGACAUCAGGAGGUUAGUGCAAUGGCAUAAGCUGGCUUGACUGCGAGCGUGACGGCGCGAGCAGGUGCGAAAGCAGGUCAUAGUGAUCCGGUGGUUCUGAAUGGAAGGGCCAUCGCUCAACGGAUAAAAGGUACUCCGGGGAUAACAGGCUGAUACCGCCCAAGAGUUCAUAUCGACGGCGGUGUUUGGCACCUCGAUGUCGGCUCAUCACAUCCUGGGGCUGAAGUAGGUCCCAAGGGUAUGGCUGUUCGCCAUUUAAAGUGGUACGCGAGCUGGGUUUAGAACGUCGUGAGACAGUUCGGUCCCUAUCUGCCGUGGGCGCUGGAGAAUUGAGGGGGGCUGCUCCUAGUACGAGAGGACCGGAGUGGACGCAUCACUGGUGUUCGGGUUGUCAUGCCAAUGGCAUUGCCCGGUAGCUAAAUGCGGAAGAGAUAAGUGCUGAAAGCAUCUAAGCACGAAACUUGCCCCGAGAUGAGUUCUCCCUGACUCCUUGAGAGUCCUGAAGGAACGUUGAAGACGACGACGUUGAUAGGCCGGGUGUGUAAGCGCAGCGAUGCGUUGAGCUAACCGGUACUAAUGAACCGUGAGGCUUAACCUU
rnacentral:rRNA from 1 species